rnacentral:piRNA from 1 species
UCCAAGGCCCGGAUUAGUGAUGUUCAUGG